AUCUCAGUAGUGUAAUGGUAACAUACCGGUCUCCAAAACCGUUGUUGAGGGUUCAAGUCCUUCCUGGGAUGCCA
rnacentral:tRNA from 1 species